rnacentral:rRNA from 1 species
GAUGAACGCUGGCGGCGUGCUUAAUACAUGCAAGUCGAACGGAGACUGUAGCAAUACUGUCUUAGUGGCGAACGGGUGAGUAACGCGUUGGUGACCUGCCCCGAAGAGGGGGAUAACAGUCCGAAAGGAUUGCUAAUACCCCAUGUGGUCGUUUGGAUUAGAUGCCUUAUGACUAAACGGAUUUAUUCGCUUCGGGAGGGGCCUGCGUCCCAUCAGCUAGUUGGUGAGGUAAUAGCUUACCAAGGCGAUGACGGGUAGGGGACCUGAGAGGGUGGCCCCCCACAAUGGAACUGAAACACGGUCCAUACACCUACGGGUGGCAGCAGUAGGGAAUAUUGGUAAUCUGGGAAACCGGGAACCAGCAACGCCGCGUGCGCGAUGACGGCCUUCGGGUUGUAAAGCGCUUUUUAAAGGGAUGAGGAAGGACAGUACCUUUAGAAUAAGCACCGGCUAACUACGUGCCAGCCGCCGCGGUAAGAC